AGCGGAAUAACAAAUACGGGCCAACAGCUGUAUGGAUUAGACGACAUACCAUACGGAUUGAACCCAUCACCUGUUAUAGCAAUUCUGACAUUCCCAGCCUCGGCUGCUUCCUCCGGGUACUCUAUAUCGAAUGACUUCCAUGCUUCACCGCCUGAUGGAUGUACAAUUUUUUUUGAAUUGUACCUUUUCCCUUCCUUGUGCCACUUCAUCAUUUUGGCAGACUCCUCGGUGAUGAAAAGGCGCUGCAGUCUUUUUAUAAAAUCAAGAUACCGAAGAACCUUCAUAGGGAUUUUUAGCUGCCGCUUCUGACCAUGCUCAUCGACAAC
rnacentral:rRNA from 1 species